GUGCUUGCUUCGGCAGCACGUAUACUAAAAUCGGAACGAUACAGAGAAGAUUAGCAUGGCCCCUGCACAAGGAUGACAUGCAAAUUCGUGAAGCGUUCCGUAUUUUU
rnacentral:snRNA from 1 species